AAUAUUGGUCAAUGGGCGCAAGCCUGAACCAGCCAUGCCGCGUGAAGGAUGAAGGUUCUAUGGAUUGUAAACUUCUUUUAUUUGGGAAUAAACCUCUUUACGUGUAGAGAGCUGAAGGUACCAAAUGAAUAAGCACCGGCUAACUCCGUGCCAGCAGCCGCGGUAAUACGGAGGGUGCAAGCGUUAUCCGGAAUCAUUGGGUUUAAAGGGUCCGCAGGCGGUCUUAUAAGUCAGUGGUGAAAGCCUACAGCUCAACUGUAGAACUGCCAUUGAUACUGUAAGACUUGAAUUUGGUCGAAGUGGGCGGAAUGUGACAUGUAGCGGUGAAAUGCAUAGAUAUGUCACAGAACACCGAUAGCGAAGGCAGCUCACUAGGCCAGUAUUGACGCUCAUGGACGAAAGCGUGGGGAGC
rnacentral:rRNA from 1 species